ACUCAAACACACUCCAUGUAUUUGUUUCUUGUACAACUCUAUGUAUGUCUGGCAAAGUUAUAUAGAAUCAGUGUUGCUUCUUUGUUGAGCCUCUCCUAUUUCUUCAUGGAUUUUUUUUUUAUUUGAUCGGCUUUCUUCUUCUUCAUGGAUUCUCAGGAGGUAAAGCCUUCUUUCUUUUUGGUCCUUUAUUAACUUUGAACCCGGCUUCCAAUAUCCCAGAUCCAACUUUAGUGUUAAGAAAUAAUGGAAAGAAACAUUCACUUUAAUUAUUUGAAAUCAAUCUUCUAAUAGGAUUACUUAUUUCUUUCUCUCUCAGGUUGCGGCUGAUAGGUAUUUGACGACCCCCCCAGAGCAGCAAGAAAAUUAUCACUAUCAUCAAAUUGCGCUUGCAGAAUGACCACGGAGUCAUGAAACGAUAUAAUGUUUGCUAUCAUCCUCGAAAGAGGGUUGCGCAGUUUACAACCGUGCGUUCUUCUUCCAGCAACUACAACAACUUUCUAGAUCACGCCAUUUUAGAAACUCUCCGCAACUCACAGGAUCACGACGUUUUUAUAACUUCCAGCAGCGACGUUUGAGUAGCUUUCAGCAACUUUCUGGAUCGCGAUAAGAUCUUUCAGCAACUCUAUGGAUCACAACGCUCUCUGUUAUAAUACCUUCAACAGCAUCUGGGACUUCUGCAACAUUUAUCCAGGACGUUGUAAACUUUCAGCAACUCUGGAGCAUAACGUUCUCAUCAAAUUACCUUCAACAACCUUUCUCUCUUUCUGCAACUCUGGAUCGUAACGUUAUGGAACACAACGUUUCUGAGAACUUUUUGCAACUCUAGAUCGCAAUGUUCUGGAUCACAACUUUUCUGAGAACUUUCUGCAACUUUUCUGGAAACGCUGUGAAUUGUUUUUUUUCAUUCUUUUGAAACCCUAAUCUUCGAAAAAACUUGGAAAGAAAAACUUUUCUAAAAGGGGGAGCAUGAUCUUUUGCUCGGUCCCCUUAGUUGGCGCCAA